UCAAGAUGUAGCUCAGCUGGUAGAGAAUGAGACUCUUAAUCCCAGGGUCAUGGUUUUGAGCCCCAUGUUGGG